GACGAACGCUGGCGGCGUGCUUAACACAUGCAAGUCGAACGAUGAAGGAGGAGCUUGCUCCUCCGGAUUAGUGGCGAACGGGUGAGUAAUACGUGAGCAAUGUGCCCUUGACUCUGGGAUAAGCGCUGGAAACGGCGUCUAAUACCGGAUACGACCCUCGGAGGCAUCUCCUGAGGGUGGAAAGAACUUCGGUCAAGGAUCAGCUCACGGCCUAUCAGCUAGUUGGGGAGGUAACGGCUCACCAAGGCGACGACGGGUAGCCGGCCUGAGAGGGUGACCGGCCACACUGGGACGGAGACACGGCCCAGACUCCUACGGGAGGCAGCAGUGGGGAAUAUUGCACAAUGGGCGCAAGCCUGAUGCAGCAACGCCGCGUGAGGGACGAAGGCCUUCGGGUUGUAAACCUCUUUUAGCAGGGAAGAAGCGAAAGUGACGGUACCUGCAGAAAAAGCACCGGCUAACUACGUGCCAGCAGCCGCCGUAAGAC
rnacentral:rRNA from 1 species